GACAGGCAUUCAGGGAAGUUUGGUAGAAUUCGUUUCUCUAAGAGUACUGGAGGAAAUGGAGUUGGAGUGUGGAAAACCCUUAUUUUAUAACAUGACUACCAGAUUUAUAGUCAAUUUAGUGUAGUGACUAUUUCAUUCACUCAAUAUUAAUAUCUAAGUUGAAAUGGAAACACAUGAACAGGUUUCCACAAGGCCCUAUGGGGCCACGCACUUCAGUAAAGAGCUCUUAAAUAGGGUCCCAGCUCCCUACAAUAUAGGAUCUAGGGAAUCAAAGAAGAUUAAAGCUGUAAUCCCUUAUCAUCGAGAAACUCUCAUCUUCAUGAUACAUAAACAGAUGAUUACUUUCCCCCACAGCUUGCAAAGUUGAGUCUUCAAGUAAGACAAGUGCAAAGAAAGAAAUUUGGAACAGCAGACUGUUUCUGUUGGUACGAUUCUUAGGAGAAAAUAUGUGUCAUACAUUAUAUGCACUGAGAUCUUAUGUGUUUCGAAUCCACUAAUUUGGGGCUAAUGGGAGUGGGAUUUAAUUUUAGUUAAAUUGAAUAGCAGCAUCACUUUCAAUUGUUCUUAAAAAUAGGAUUUAUUAAACAAA
rnacentral:lncRNA from 1 species